AAAUUGAAGAGUUUGAUCAUGGCUCAGAUUGAACGCUGGCGGCAGGCCUAACACAUGCAAGUCGAGCGGUAGCACAGAAGAGCUUGCUCUUUGGGUGACGAGCGGCGGACGGGUGAGUAAUGUCUGGGAAACUGCCUGAUGGAGGGGGAUAACUACUGGAAACGGUAGCUAAUACCGCAUAACCUCGCAAGAGCAAAGAGGGGGACCUUCGGGCCUCUCGCCAUCAGAUGUGCCCAGAUGGGAUUAGCUAGUAGGUGAGGUAAUGGCUCACCUAGGCGACGAUCCCUAGCUGGUCUGAGAGGAUGACCAGCCACACUGGAACUGAGACACGGUCCAGACUCCUACGGGAGGCAGCAGUGGGGAAUAUUGCACAAUGGGCGCAAGCCUGAUGCAGCCAUGCCGCGUGUGUGAAGAAGGCCUUCGGGUUGUAAAGCACUUUCAGCGGGGAGGAAGGCGGUAAGGUUAAUAACCUUGCUGAUUGACGUUACCCGCAGAAGAAGCACCGGCUAACUCCGUGCCAGCAGCCGCGGUAAUACGGAGGGUGCAAGCGUUAAUCGGAAUGACUGGGCGUAAAGCGCACGCAGGCGGUCUGUUAAGUUGGAUGUGAAAUCCCCGGGCUUAACCUGGGAACUGCAUUCAAAACUGACAGGCUAGAGUCUUGUAGAGGGGGGUAGAAUUCCAGGUGUAGCGGUGAAAUGCGUAGAGAUCUGGAGGAAUACCGGUGGCGAAGGCGGCCCCCUGGACAAAGACUGACGCUCAGGUGCGAAAGCGUGGGGAGCAAACAGGAUUAGAUACCCUGGUAGUCCACGCUGUAAACGAUGUCGAUUUGGAGGUUGUGCCCUUGAGGCGUGGCUUCCGGAGCUAACGCGUUAAAUCGACCGCCUGGGGAGUACGGCCGCAAGGUUAAAACUCAAAUGAAUUGACGGGGGCCCGCACAAGCGGUGGAGCAUGUGGUUUAAUUCGAUGCAACGCGAAGAACCUUACCUACUCUUGACAUCCAGAGAAUUUGCUAGAGAUAGCUUAGUGCCUUCGGGAACUCUGAGACAGGUGCUGCAUGGCUGUCGUCAGCUCGUGUUGUGAAAUGUUGGGUUAAGUCCCGCAACGAGCGCAACCCUUAUCCUUUGUUGCCAGCGAUUCGGUCGGGAACUCAAAGGAGACUGCCGGUGAUAAACCGGAGGAAGGUGGGGAUGACGUCAAGUCAUCAUGGCCCUUACGAGUAGGGCUACACACGUGCUACAAUGGCGUAUACAAAGAGAAGCGACCUCGCGAGAGCAAGCGGACCUCAUAAAGUACGUCGUAGUCCGGAUUGGAGUCUGCAACUCGACUCCAUGAAGUCGGAAUCGCUAGUAAUCGUAGAUCAGAAUGCUACGGUGAAUACGUUCCCGGGCCUUGUACACACCGCCCGUCACACCAUGGGAGUGGGUUGCAAAAGAAGUAGGUAGCUUAACCUUCGGGAGGGCGCUUACCACUUUGUGAUUCAUGACUGGGGUGAAGUCGUAACAAGGUAACCGUAGGGGAACCUGCGGUUGGAUCACCUCCUUACCAAGAAG
rnacentral:rRNA from 1 species